GAUUCACUUAACAACUGUGGCAAGAAAGGUUGUAAAAUGGGGCAAAACCCGCUUAACAACUCUCUUGCUUAGCAACAGAAAUGUUGGGGGUCAAUUGUGGUCAUAAGCUGAGGACUAUCUGUAGUCCACAUGUAUCUGUAGCAAUCCUAGACAGAGACAUGGGGCUUGAAUAUGAGGUUGGAGAUGAAUGAAAAAAAAUGUUUUUCUCCUGCUCUGGAUAUCAUGGGCUGGAUCCAAACUUGAUUAAGCUUGAUCACCCCUGAAAUUAAAGGGAUCCAGCAACUAAGCAUGGUUUCAGUAGGACCACAGCUAUCGUGCUAUCACUGGUGUUAGCAGAAGCCACAGUGACACUAUACCUAUCACGACAUCAUUACCCACACUCAUUGUUUGCAUCAUUUAUGUUAUGAUGUCAUAUUUGCAACUCUCCUUUUGUGGAGACCCAUGGGUUCCAGGAAUAGCUGGGAGUCAAAUUAUGGGAUUCAACACACAUAUGUAAACUGUGGUCAUCUUGUCCCCCUGCUUUGAAAAUGGGAGAGAAUUGGCUACUUUUAAAAUUUAUACAGGCUACAUUUGUACAUACAGUAACUCUGAGCCAUAAACUUUGAUUUACCCACACAACAGCAGAGGUACAGAAUAACAGAAUUGGAAGGCACCUUGGAGAUCUUCUAGACCAACCUCCUGCUCAGGCAGGAAAAAACUAUACCAUUUCAGACAAAUGGAUAUUCAAUUUUUUCUUGAAAACUUCCAGUGUUGGAGCAUCCAUAACUUCUGGAGGCAAGUUGUUCCACAGGUUUGUUAUUCUAAAAAUUCAUACCUGCGUUAAGACUUUAAUGAAACAAAUCAUAAUUGGUUUAGCAUCACUUGCGAACUCAAUCACUAUCACCUGGGCUUCAUGGCUAGGUAUUAUGUGUGAACGAUUCCACUAAGACUUGUUGAGAAAUCACAGUUAAAGUAAACCAUACUUAUGGCACUAGGUCAGGGGUGAAAUAUGAGGUCACAUAUAGAAGGCACCAGGAUUACAUGCUGGCACAUCUGUGCACUGUGGUAGAUGAGAAGCUUUUAAAGCACCAGGUUGUGUGCGUGGGGGUGUGUGGAAUGGGGGGGCUGAUUUUUGGAAACAAGAAACUAGAACAGGUCCUAUGCUUAUGCACAGAAUAAUGUUCUUUUGGUCCUUCCUUCACAAGAACCCAUAGCCAAUGUGCUCUUAGGAGAAAAUAUUUGUUGCUUCUCAUCCCAUGAUUUUAAAAGUGUUUAUGUCAAGUUUUUCUUGGUCCCUUUGUUCUGCCAAAAAUUAAAAAGGAAGCAGGGGAAAAUAAAAAAAACGGAAUAUAGAUUAAUAUCCCAGGAACAGUUGCAUCUGUUAUUAGAUUCUGUUCCUUCUUUUUAAGCCAACAUGAGGCCGAGGGGAGGAGAG